AGGGUAGUAGCUCAGUGGUAGAGCUGCCGCCUCAUAUGCCGUAAGACCCGAGUUCGACUCGCGGCUGCUUAC
rnacentral:tRNA from 1 species